GAGAAAAGCCUUAAUAAAGUUGCGGGUUUUUCCAGCCUCAGCAGCAGAACUUCUCCAGAACCCGAUCAGAACCGCCUCCUAACACUUAACUCUUUCUGUUGCAGUCAGAUCACAAACAUCUGGAGGUCCUUCAGACCAACGUGACGGAGCGCCGGGUCCAGACCGCGGUUCUGCUGAGCGUCAAGGCCGGGAGGGGGCGGGGCAUGGCGACAGGAGCGGGAACGCCAGGAGUCGAGGUCGUUCUGCAGGUGCGUUUUUGGUUUCUCUGAAAGUUUGAUGAUCUGACAGCGAGGGGGCGGGGCUUAUCCAGCUGAGCAUCCGUCCUCCAGGUGGAAAUAUUAGGAGAAUUUUGAUGAUUCGAAUUCAUGAAAACAUUGAAACGUAACAAACGUGGAUUUAAUAAACAGUUUUAAUUAUUUUAACUUGACUCUCAAGGUUCUCUCGGUUACCGACUGAUUGAGUUUCUAUUUUCCUGCGUUUCUCUCGCAGGUUCCCAUAAACCAUCCAAGUCCAAAUGGUCGGAGUCGGAGGUGCGCGCCGUGGAGCAGCACCUGAUGGAGUUCAUCCGGAAGCAGCGAGUGCCGCAGAAGUACGACUGCCUGCAGUGUCUGGAGGCGGAGCCUCGGGCGCUCAGGGCGCGCUCGUGGAAGGCCGUGAAGGACUACGUCCGGAACCGGAUCACCGCGCUGCGCAGGCAGAGCGGCUGCGGCGCGAAGCCCGCAGGGAAACCCUCGGGAGAGAAAGCCAGAGCGGCGCCCCCCGUCCAGACGCGGGACGUCAGACCGGCAGCCCCCCCCAGAGCGGAUCAGACAGGAAACUCCAGGGCGCAGACCAAGGUGAAGUGGGCGGAGGCGGAGGUCCGCGCCGUGGAGAGGCACAUGAUGCGCUUCAUCACCCAGCACAAGGUGCCUCAGAAGAACGACUGCGUCCUGUGUCUGGAGGCGGAGCCUCAGGCGCUGCGGGCCCGCUCCUGGAAAGGCGUGAAGGACUACGUCCGAAACCGAAUCACCACGCUGCAGAGGCAGAGCGGCUCCUCCCGGCGCUCCAGAUCGGAGAGCUCUCGGCACAGGAGCGUCCUGCUGCAGCUGUAGCUGAAAAACCGCAGAAACAUUCCGGCUUGAAACGAAUGUUUUCCUUCGUUUAUGGAACUUUUGUUACCGUUUUAUAAAUCUAAAAGCUGAAGUUUUAUAGAUUUAUUGGAAGUUUGAAGGUUGGGAUCCACGUUUGGAGACUUAAGUCUAGUUAGAAUUACAUUUUUGAUUUUCCUUUGAAUGUUGAAGCAUUUUGUAAACAAACAAGUUCACUUUUCUGAGUAAAAGAUGUCAAAUAGAAACAUUUUGUUCAGAGGAUUUUGUUGCAAGUAUGUGGGUGUAAAUUGGGGCUGACUUUAUUUGAAACUUAAAUAAAACAAAUUGAAAAAAAUCUAUAAAUAUAUAAAAAAAAUAUAUUUAUUCCAUAGAUAAACAAAAUAAUUUUCUAAAAUAAAUUAUUCAUUAAUCAUUUCUUCAUUUAUUUUAUGAUUUAAAUCUUCUGUUUUUUAGGUUUCAAAACUCAAAAUUUUAAUUUCCAAACUUUUUUUCAGUAUAAAAGCUUUUUUUCACUUUCAAAUCUGAAAAUUUCAAAAUUGAAAGAGCAAAAAUGAAAGAGUUGAAAGUGAAAAAAUAUUUGAAACAGACAUAAAAAAAAAGGGAAUUUUUGCUUUUUGAAAAUUACAAAUUGUAAUAUUUGAAACUGAAAACAAUACAUUUUAUUUUAGAAUAGCAAAAAAUUUUAGACAUUUUACACCGAUAUUUUUUUUCAUUAUUUUUAUUUGGGUUUCAAAUAUUAUUUGGUUCAAUGGAGCUCCAUAUAAGUCCAGUUAGAAUUACCCUUUUUGUAAAAAAAA
rnacentral:lncRNA from 1 species